rnacentral:rRNA from 1 species
GACGAACGCUGGCGGCGUGCUUAACACAUGCAAGUCGAACGAGUGGCGAACGGGUGAGUAAUACGUAGGUAACCUGCCCUCUUUUUGGGAUAAGCCUUGGAAACGGGGUCUAAUACCGAAUAAAGGGGGAUGGGCUCGCCGCCUAUCAGAUUGUGGGUGGGGUGAUGGCCUACCAAGGCGGUGACGGGUAGCCGGCCUUAGCGGGUGACAGGCCACAUUGGGACUGAGGUACGGCCCAGACUCCUACGGGAGGCAGCAGUGGGGGAUAGUGCACAAUGGGCGAAAGCCUGAUGCAGCGACGCCGCGUGAGUGAUGACGGCCUUCGGGUUGUAAAGCUCUGUUAAUCGGGACGCGGUACCGGAAUAGAAAGCCACGGCUAACUACGUGCCAGCAGCCGCGGUAAUAC